UUGGACGUGGUGUACGGCGCACGCCCGCAUGCUCUGAAGAUGUAUAAAUUUUGCGACGGGAAGCCUGGGUUCGACUCCCGGCGUCCGAA